rnacentral:rRNA from 1 species
AGAUUGAACGCUGGCGGCAGGCCUAACACAUGCAAGUCGAGCGGCAGCACGGGUACUUGUACCUGGUGGCGAGCGGCGGACGGGUGAGUAAUGCCUAGGAAUCUGCCUGGUAGUGGGGGAUAACGCUCGGAAACGGACGCUAAUACCGCAUACGUCCUACGGGAGAAAGCAGGGGACCUUCGGGCCUUGCGCUAUCAGAUGAGCCUAGGUCGAUUAGCUAGUUGGUGAGUAAUGGCUCACCAAGGCGACGAUCCGUAACUGGUCUGAGAGGAUGAUCAGUCACACUGGAACUGAGACACGGUCCAGACUCGUACGGGAGCAGCAGGUGGGAAUAGUUGGACAAGUGGGCGAAAGCCUGAUCCGAGCCAUCGCCGCGUGUGGUAGAAGAAGGUCUUCGGAUUGUAAAGCUAACGUUUAAGUGGGAG